GACUCUUUCCACGCUGAACAUCUCCUGACAUAAAGACGACCUUUUCACUAGGACUGUCUGAAUCAGGUCAAAACAAGGGGGAUGAUGAUCACAGCCACGAUGCAACCCUUUCAAACAAAACUAUCUCCCUCUGGUGAAUGCCAACACAGCUCUUGGCCCCAGACGAACACAGAAGGGCUGGGAAAACGGAGACCUUACUACUCCAGCUGUUCCUGAUACAAAUAGUAGUUUAAGAAGAUACAACCCUCCCCAAAAAGGACCAAGGAAGAGCCCUGGGUAAACAGGUCCUUGGACAGUGAAGGCAGAUUAGGUGUUAGAGGUUUGUCAUCACUCUCCGGGUUGCCAUGACAGCAAAUUGGGAUGUCAUGCUGGCAUUUCAUCCUCGUCUUACCCCAUGUGAACGUCAACUUCACGGCCAUACCAAUUCCCGAUUUUACGGGAAAGGUUGUCAGCGGUGUGAAGUAAGGAAGAAUAAGUGUGUGUGUGUGUGCGUGGUGGGUUGACUGACCUUGGGAGACUGUCCCCAUGCAGGGGUAUUCAGUAAGCGAGAUGCCGUGUAGCAGGUAUUCAGUCUCCCAGCCACACAUGGCGAGUGCCACAGCUGCAGUCAGCUGAAACCGACGUGGCCUCUUUGUGAAGGCGAGGCACUGCCCUCUGACACUAACAACACUCCAGUGUACAGCUACAGGUAUCUCUGUGGACAGGACAUUAGCUAGAAGGCUCAAAGAUGAA